rnacentral:rRNA from 1 species
UACGUAGGGGCCUAGCGUUGUCCGGAUUUAUUGGGCGUAAAGAGCUCGUAGGCGGUUCGGUAAGUCAGGUGUGAAAUCUCCACGCUCAACGUGGAGGCGCCACCUGAAACUGCCGUGACUCGAGUCCGGUAGGGGAGUGUGGAAUUCCUGGUGUAGCGGUGAAAUGCGCAGAUAUCAGGAGGAACACCGGUGGCGAAGGCGGGUAGCUGGGCCGACACUGACGCUGGAGGCGCGAAGCCAGGGGAGCGAACGGG